rnacentral:lncRNA from 1 species
GAAAAUAAGGACCAAAUCGAAUAAAUUGCAAAACUUGGAUUCUAGAAGCAAUUUGUAUGAAAUUGCUUUGGAUUAUUAAUUAGAAUGUCUUAAAGAGAAAUUUUCCCAAUUUCUAAGUUUUUGGACAAAAAUGGGCAUGUGUGGAUGAAAUUUUAAAGAAAGGGCUUAAGGGUAUUUUGGUCAUUUGGCUAAUUAAUGAAAUAAAAUGAAAAAAUGAAGGAAAAAAUCAGCCAUUCUUCUCCCUCAUCUAGUCAAAAUUCUCAAGCCCUC